GGUUAUAUGUAUUUAAGAAUGAGUCAUUGAUAGGCUUGGAGUAACCUUGAGCAGCUUGAACUUAUUCUUGGAUAAAAGGUGAAAACUGUACAGCCAUGGAACAUUCACUCACAUAAUGGGCUAGGCUAGCAUAGAUAGAACAGAUCUCUUGAUAAUUGAGAGGUGGUGUGUAUUGCAGAAGAGUUUGUUGACCUAGGGCUAGGAAUUUAUCUAUAAGAAAGUUGAUUUUAUCUAAUUUUUGGGCUAUCAGGUUCAAAUCGACCUUAGGACUAGAGUCUGAGUGUUUGAUCUUAUAGAAUGAUGGGAAUAUUGAUGGGUUAUAAGUGGAAGAAAUAAAAUAUUCCUUCAUCUGCCUAUAUGGUUCUUCAGGAUUUUCAGCCAUUUAAUUAUCAGGUUUAACAUGGAUCAGCCGUUUAAUUUCAGAAUUGGAUUCAACUAGGU
rnacentral:lncRNA from 1 species